GAUGAAGAACGUAGCGAAAUGCGAUAAGUAAUGUGAAUUGCAGAAUUCCGUGAAUCAUCGAAUCUUUGAACGCACAUUGCGCCCUCUGGUAUUCCCGGGGGCAUGCCUGUCCGAGCGUCAUUUGCAACCCUCAAGCCCGGCUUGUGUGAUGGGUGCCGUCCCCUACGGGACGCGCCCCGAAGGCAAUGGCGGCGUCGCGGUUAUCCGAUCAGCCAAAGUGUAUGGGGCUUUGUCACUCACUUUACGGCCCGGACCGGCGCCAGUCCGAAUCAAUCUUUUUUCUAAAGUUGACCUCGGAUCAGGUAGGGAUACCCGCUGAACUUAAGCAUAUCAAUAAGCGGAGGA
rnacentral:misc_RNA from 1 species